AAACCAGCACCUCAAGUGGUCAGGAUGAUUAUUGGGCCUAAAGCAUCCGUAGCCUGCUUUGCCAGUUUUCGGUUAAAUCCAUACGCUUAACGUAUGGGCUGCCGGAAAUACUACAAAGCUAGGGAGUGGGAGAGGUAGACGGUACUCGGGAGGAAGUGGUAAAAUGCUUUGAUCUCUCGAUGACCACCUGUGGCGAAGGCGGUCUACCAGAACACGUCUGACGGUGAGGGAUGAAAGCUGAGGGAGCAAACCGGAUUAGAAACCCCAGUAGUCC
rnacentral:rRNA from 1 species